CGGUCUCAGUUCGGAUUGAAGGCUGAAAUUCGCCUUCAUGAAGCUGGAAUUGCUAGUAAUGGCAGGUCAGCAUACUGCCGUGAAUACGUUCCCGGGCCUUGUACACACCGCCCGUCACACCAUGAGAGUCGGGAACACCCGAAGUCCGUAGCCUAACCGCAAGGAGGGCGCGGCCGAAGGUGGGUUCGAUAAUUGGGGUGAAGUCGUAACAAGGUACC
rnacentral:rRNA from 1 species